UCACUCCCUUCUUGGCCUCAUCUCUAGGUGCCCGUCUCUCCCUCCAGCGCCCCCAGCCCCUGGAGCCCCUGGAGCUUCUUGAAUGGCCAGGCACUUCCCGAGAACAUUGCUUCUGUGUUGGUGCAGCAUGGACCAUGUCCUCCAGGUGUCUCCACAGUCUCAGAGAAUCUCAUUGACCUCCCUGUCUGAAAACACAUCAUCCACAUAUAGGCCCUCUCCAGCCCUUGCUUUUAUACUCCCAUCCUGAGAGAGUCCACAUCUAAAGUACUCCAGUGUGCUCGCCUGACUAUCCACCUCACCAGAGGCCCACAGGACUGUCUUCUGAGAAACACCAUGAGAGGACACUUACCAGAAGACCAGUUUCCUGAAAGAGAACUGCAGGAGUGAACUGCUCACAGGACUUUCAAUCAUCUGAGAAGUUUGUUAUUGGAAAGAACCAUCUUCUGGUGAAGUGAAUCAACAGAGCAUCGGAUCACCAAGCUCUGAACCUACUGCAUCUCCUCGCGGAGCCCUGAACCUAUGGUGCAUCCCCCGCCCCUCAGAGGCAGGAUUCAAGGUCAUUGUGGUAUAAAUAGGAACUUGACAAAUAAUACCAGAUCUCUUCCCAAUUCAAGGGAAAACACAUGAAAAGAAAACAGAGGACUGGAGAGAUGGUUCAGCGGGUAAGAGCACCGACUUCUCUUCCAGAGGUCUUGAGUUCAAUUCCCAGCAACCACAUGGUGGCUCACAACCAUGUGUAAUGGGAUUUGAUGCUCUCUUCUGGUGUGUCUGAAGGGAGUGACAGUGUACUUACAUUAAAUGAAUAAAUGAA